rnacentral:tRNA from 1 species
AACAUAACCUAUAACACCAUUGGGCAAUGACCCAUCCCGAGAGUUGCU